rnacentral:rRNA from 2 species
GACAUCAGGAGGUUAGUGCAAUGGCAUAAGCCAGCUUGACUGCGAGCGUGACGGCGCGAGCAGGUGCGAAAGCAGGUCAUAGUGAUCCGGUGGUUCUGAAUGGAAGGGCCAUCGCUCAACGGAUAAAAGGUACUCCGGGGAUAACAGGCUGAUACCGCCCAAGAGUUCAUAUCGACGGCGGUGUUUGGCACCUCGAUGUCGGCUCAUCACAUCCUGGGGCUGAAGUAGGUCCCAAGGGUAUGGCUGUUCGCCAUUUAAAGUGGUACGCGAGCUGGGUUUAGAACGUCGUGAGACAGUUCGGUCCCUAUCUGCCGUGGGCGCUGGAGAACUGAGGGGGGCUGCUCCUAGUACGAGAGGACCGGAGUGGACGCAUCACUGGUGUUCGGGUUGUCAUGCCAAUGGCACUGCCCGGUAGCUAAAUGCGGAAGAGAUAAGUGCUGAAAGCAUCUAAGCACGAAACUUGCCCCGAGAUGAGUUCUCCCUGACUCCUUGAGAGUCCUGAAGGAACGUUGAAG